CCUCAGGGAACAGCCUCCUCACACAGCUCCUAAAUCAGUGCCUGUCCCCUGGGAGGUGCUCUGUGAAUGUGAGCGAAGUGAAGGAAUGAAUGAAUGGAUACAGGGGAGACAGAAGGAUCCUCCUCCCCCUGUUUUGCUGCCUCCCCGAACCACGGAAGAAGAGGAGGAGACAAGGUGCCUUCCCUGGUGUCCUCUUCAUCUCUCCCCAGCAUCAUUUCAGAAUCGCAGUAGGGAUCACAGAUUUGCUCCAAGACAGAUCCGUCUCCGAAGUAUAAGAUCUGGAAAUGAUGACAGUGCCUCCUCUCCAUGCAACCGGCAAAUGUAAUGAAAGUGAAAGAGUCUGGCAAGGACUUAUACUGAUUUUGUCCUAUUGUCCCUCGGCAGAAGGAAGCAAGGCCCUUUAUGUGUGACGGUGACACUGUUCAGACUCCUGCUUUGGCUUGGGGAUCUUCACUAGGCUGCUUAUCUUCGUAUCUGCCCAGAUGUCUCAGUGGCCCUCCCCUUCCUGGUGCUGCUGGUUCCCUGGCAGCUGUGUGCUUGAAAGAUGACCCAGCACCCUUUUCCUUCUCUUGUCUCCUCGCUCCAUCCAAACAAAAUGUCUUUCUAGUUGGGGGUGAAAAUGUCAUUGAGGUGGCUGACAGAAGUGGGCCACCAGACUACCUGCCUUGGAAACAGGAGAAAUGAUGGGCCACAACUCAAGAUACAUCAAGAAGUGAGGGGAAAAAAAAAAAAAAAGGGGGUGAGGGAAUAUGAAAAGAUAAAAUAAUUUAAAUAGUAAUUAUACAAAGACACAUUGAAAUUUGUGCAUUUAUUGAUAUUUGUCUUUGAAUCUCCCCCUCCCACAAAGCCUCCUCAGGUCCAGACAUGAUUAUCGAUUAUUUAUUUCCUGCCUUCUUUACCUAUAUGGUUUCCUUAUAUCAUUCUCCAAACCCUAUGGACAGUUCAUAUUAUUCCUGGGGUAGACAUGAGAAACCAUGACCCCAGGAGGUUAGUGAAUAUUUAAGGACAGGGCCCACGGGUCAGGGAAUCACUUUUCUCUCUUUCUAUUGUAUCAUAUCGACUCUAGCAGGCCUUUAGAGAGUGGAUCCGGAGUUUGAGGAUGAGACCACAUACCUGGAUUGCUUGGCCUUUUGAUGUUCUUCAGAUUAAAGCAUGGAAGGCCUGGCCAUUCUGCCUCUGUGUGAGGGUGACCCGGGGCCAGGGUGGCAGCACUGGAUGUGCCAUCAGGAGUUAUCUUCCCUUUGGCAUUUGAGAAUAAAUUCUGUAGAGCAGUGAUGCUCACUGGAGAGCUUAAAAGAAUCUUCAUGUCUGACUGCGUCCCAGGCCACUUAAAUCAGAAUCUCAGGGGGGCAGGGGGUAGGACCCAGAUACCAGUAUUUAAAAAAUCCUCUAGGAGUUUCUCCUCUGCGGUCACAGUCGAGAACCAGGGCUCUAAGCAGCUGUUCCCAAACCUGUGCAAGCAUCAGAAUCACCUGGAAGGCUUGUUAAAACCCUGACUGCUGGGACCCACUUGUAGAAUUUCUGAUUCAGCAGGUCUGGGUGAGGGCCAAGAUUAUGCAUUUCUAAGUUCCCAGGGGAUUGGUGAUUGAGCAGAAGUGAAGCUGGUGUGAGCUUCUGGUCUCUUCUUUACGCCUGUCAGGUCACAAGGGGUUUGUGUCUCCUGUUCCGCGACUUCCCGCAUGCUGACUUGCUCAAGUACUAGAACACCGUUUGCUGUGUGAAUGCUAAAUAGCCUAUGAGCAUCAGAAGUAUUUUGAAAUAAAUCAGGCAAUGAAUUCCAUCAGGCUUUGAAUG